rnacentral:rRNA from 1 species
AACGAACGCUGGCGGUGUGCUUAACACAUGCAAGUCGAACGAGAAAGUUUCCUUCGGGAAGCGAGUAAAGUGGCGCAAGGGUGAGUAACACGUGAAUAAUCUACCCCCGAGACUGGGAUAACCUGGUGAAAACUAAGGCUAAUACCGGAUAAGACCACGUCCCGCAAGGGAUGCGGAAAAGGAGGCUCAACCUCCACUUGGAGAUGAGUUCGCGGACCAUUAGCUUGUUGGUGAGAUAAAAGCUCACCAAGGCUACGAUGGAUAGCCGGCCUGAGAGGGUGAACGGCCACACUGGAACUGAGACACGGUCCAGACUCCUACGGGAGGCAGCAGUGGGGAAUAUUGGACAAUGGGGGGAAACCCUGAUCCAGCAAUGCCGCGUGUGUGAUG